CUUCAUACAUCAGGCAGUGUGAGCUAUGCUUCUGCUGCACAUAAACUGGGUCAGCAACUUGGGCGUCCUCCUCGAAGAGAUGAAGUCUAUAUAAAAACACAUACAAGAAAAAAUAGAGAGCCUUUAAGGCCAGCAACAUCAGUAAUUGAUUCCCUAAAAGAAGUUGUUGAAAUCUAUCCGGAGUUGAAGGACAAGGCAAUUCAGCAAGGUGAUGCUUUUGCUGUUGUUUGUGGAGAAAAGGAGCCAAGGGGUAGAGUCCGUUGUUUGGGUCUAGG